rnacentral:SRP_RNA from 1 species
GCCAGGUGUGGUGGCGUGAGCCUCUAGUCCCACCUACUCAGGAGGCUGAGACAGGAGGAUGGCUUGAGUCCAAGAGUUCUGCGUUGUAGUGCACUAUGUCAAUUGGGUGUCUGCACUAAGUUCGGCAUCAAUACAGCGACCUCCCAGGACCGGGGACCACCAGAUUGUCUAAGAGGGAUGAACCAGGCCAGGUUGGAAAUGGAGCAGGUCAAAACGCCAGUGUUGAUUAGUAGUAGGAUCGCGCCUGUGAAUAGCCACUGUACUCCAGCCUGGGCAACAUAAUGAGACCCUGCCUCU